AUAUUCGGACAAAUGCUGCAUAAACAUUAUGUAGAGGAAAGUCCAUGCUCACACAUACCUGAGACGGUUGUAGUGUUCGUGCUUAGGGAAAAAAUAACCUAAGGUAGAGAAAUCUAACGGCAGCGAAAGAAUCUAAAAGCUUUAGCUCAUGAUUCUAGUAGCUAUAAAGUGCCAUAGUAACGUACAAGUUGGAAACGACGGAAAUGGAACGCGGUAAACCCCACGAGUGAGAAAUCCAAAUUUUGGUAGGAGAGCUCUUACAAAAGAAUCAAAUGGCGUAAGGGACUAUGGUUUUCCAUAGUAGAUAAAUAUUUGUCGCUCAAGUAUUUGAGAACAGAACAUGGCUUAUGAA
rnacentral:RNase_P_RNA from 1 species